AACGAACGCUGGCGGCAUGCUUUACACAUGCAAGUCGAACGGUAACAGGUUAAGCUGACGAGUGGCGAACGGGUGAGUAAUGCAUCGGAACGUGCCCGAUCGUGGGGGAUAACGCAGCGAAAGCUGCGCUAAUACCGCAUACGAUCUGAGGAUGAAAGCGGGGGACCGUAAGGCCUCGCGCGAUCGGAGCGGCCGAUGUCAGAUUAGGUAGUUGGUGGGGUAAAGGCCCACCAAGCCGACGAUCUGUAGCUGGUCUGAGAGGACGACCAGCCACACGGGGAUGGAGAAACGGCCCAGACUCCUACGGGAGGCAGCAGUGGGGAAUUUUGGACAAUGGGCGAAAGCCUGAUCCAGCAAUGCCGCGUGCAGGAAGAAGGCCUUCGGGUUGUAAACUGCUUUUGUACGGAGCGAAAAGGUCCUUUCUAAUACAAGGGGCUCAUGACGGUACCGUAAGAAUAAGCACCGGCUAACUACGUGCCAGCCGCCGCAGUAAAAC
rnacentral:rRNA from 1 species